GGGGUUGUAGUUCAGUUGGUUAGAACGCCGGCCUGUCACGCCGGAGGUCGCGAGUUCGAGCCUCGUCGACCCCG
rnacentral:tRNA from 1 species